AGCGUACACGGUGGAUGCCCUGGCAGUCAGAGGCGAUGAAGGACGUGCUAAUCUGCGAUAAGCGUCGGUAAGGUGAUAUGAACCGUUAUAACCGGCGAUUUCCGAAUGGGGAAACCCAGUGUGAUUCGACACACUAUCAUUAACUGAAUCCAUAGGUUAAUGAGGCGAACCGGGGGAACUGAAACAUCUAAGUACCCCGAGGAAAAGAAAUCAACCGAGAUUCCCCCAGUAGCGGCGAGCGAACGGGGAGCAGCCCAGAGCCUGAAUCAGUGUGUGUGUUAGUGGAAGCGUCUGGAAAGGCGCGCGAUACAGGGUGACAGCCCCGUACACAAAAAUACACAUACUGUGAGCUCGAUGAGUAGGGCGGGACACGUGGUAUCCUGUCUGAAUAUGGGGGGACCAUCCUCCAAGGCUAAAUACUCCUGACUGACCGAUAGUGAACCAGUACCGUGAGGGAAAGGCGAAAAGAACCCCGGCGAGGGGAGUGAAAAAGAACCUGAAACCGUGUACGUACAAGCAGUGGGAGCACAGAGCAAUCUGUGUGACUGCGUACCUUUUGUAUAAUGGGUCAGCGACUUAUAUUCUGUAGCAAGGUUAACCGAAUAGGGGAGCCGAAGGGAAACCGAGUCUUAACUGGGCGUUAAGUUGCAGGGUAUAGACCCGAAACCCGGUGAUCUAGCCAUGGGCAGGUUGAAGGUUGGGUAACACUAACUGGAGGACCGAACCGACUAAUGUUGAAAAAUUAGCGGAUGACUUGUGGCUGGGGGUGAAAGGCCAAUCAAACCGGGAGAUAGCUGGUUCUCCCCGAAAGCUAUUUAGGUAGCGCCUCGUGAAUUCAUCUCCGGGGGUAGAGCACUGUUUCGGCAAGGGGGUCAUCCCGACUUACCAACCCGAUGCAAACUGCGAAUACCGGAGAAUGUUAUCACGGGAGACACACGGCGGGUGCUAACGUCCGUCGUGAAGAGGGAAACAACCCAGACCGCCAGCUAAGGUCCCAAAGUCAUGGUUAAGUGGGAAACGAUGUGGGAAGGCCCAGACAGCCAGGAUGUUGGCUUAGAAGCAGCCAUCAUUUAAAGAAAGCGUAAUAGCUCACUGGUCGAGUCGGCCUGCGCGGAAGAUGUAACGGGGCUAAACCAUGCACCGAAGCUGCGGCAGCGACGCUGAUGCGUUGUUGGGUAGGGGAGCGUUCUGUAAGCCUGCGAAGGUGUGCUGUGAGGCAUGCUGGAGGUAUCAGAAGUGCGAAUGCUGACAUAAGUAACGAUAAAGCGGGUGAAAAGCCCGCUCGCCGGAAGACCAAGGGUUCCUGUCCAACGUUAAUCGGGGCAGGGUGAGUCGACCCCUAAGGCGAGGCCGAAAGGCGUAGUCGAUGGGAAACAGGUUAAUAUUCCUGUACUUGGUGUUACUGCGAAGGGGGGACGGAGAAGGCUAUGUUGGCCGGGCGACGGUUGUCCCGGUUUAAGCGUGUAGGCUGGUUUUCCAGGCAAAUCCGGAAAAUCAAGGCUGAGGCGUGAUGACGAGGCACUACGGUGCUGAAGCAACAAAUGCCCUGCUUCCAGGAAAAGCCUCUAAGCAUCAGGUAACAUCAAAUCGUACCCCAAACCGACACAGGUGGUCAGGUAGAGAAUACCAAGGCGCUUGAGAGAACUCGGGUGAAGGAACUAGGCAAAAUGGUGCCGUAACUUCGGGAGAAGGCACGCUGAUAUGUAGGUGAAGUCCCUCGCGGAUGGAGCUGAAAUCAGUCGAAGAUACCAGCUGGCUGCAACUGUUUAUUAAAAACACAGCACUGUGCAAACACGAAAGUGGACGUAUACGGUGUGACGCCUGCCCGGUGCCGGAAGGUUAAUUGAUGGGGUCAGCGCAAGCGAAGCUCUUGAUCGAAGCCCCGGUAAACGGCGGCCGUAACUAUAACGGUCCUAAGGUAGCGAAAUUCCUUGUCGGGUAAGUUCCGACCUGCACGAAUGGCGUAAUGAUGGCCAGGCUGUCUCCACCCGAGACUCAGUGAAAUUGAACUCGCUGUGAAGAUGCAGUGUACCCGCGGCAAGACGGAAAGACCCCGUGAACCUUUACUAUAGCUUGACACUGAACAUUGAGCCUUGAUGUGUAGGAUAGGUGGGAGGCUUUGAAGUGUGGACGCCAGUCUGCAUGGAGCCGGCCUUGAAAUACCACCCUUUAAUGUUUGAUGUUCUAACGUUGACCCGUAAUCCGGGUUGCGGACAGUGUCUGGUGGGUAGUUUGACUGGGGCGGUCUCCUCCUAAAGAGUAACGGAGGAGCACGAAGGUUGGCUAAUCCUGGUCGGACAUCAGGAGGUUAGUGCAAUGGCAUAAGCCAGCUUGACUGCGAGCGUGACGGCGCGAGCAGGUGCGAAAGCAGGUCAUAGUGAUCCGGUGGUUCUGAAUGGAAGGGCCAUCGCUCAACGGAUAAAAGGUACUCCGGGGAUAACAGGCUGAUACCGCCCAAGAGUUCAUAUCGACGGCGGUGUUUGGCACCUCGAUGUCGGCUCAUCACAUCCUGGGGCUGAAGUAGGUCCCAAGGGUAUGGCUGUUCGCCAUUUAAAGUGGUACGCGAGCUGGGUUUAGAACGUCGUGAGACAGUUCGGUCCCUAUCUGCCGUGGGCGCUGGAGAACUGAGGGGGGCUGCUCCUAGUACGAGAGGACCGGAGUGGACGCAUCACUGGUGUUCGGGUUGUCAUGCCAAUGGCACUGCCCGGUAGCUAAAUGCGGAAGAGAUAAGUGCUGAAAGCAUCUAAGCACGAAACUUGCCCCGAGAUGAGUUCUCCCUGACUCCUUGA
rnacentral:rRNA from 1 species